GAAAAAUAAGUGUGUUGAGAAAAGUUGUAUAGAGCCUCUGUACUUAGCCUCCAGCAGAGUAAGUGGGGAAACAUGCCAUUCCUCCUGUGGCAAAUGAAGGUACUGGACCCGAAAUCAGAAAGAUUCCUAAAGCUGCAAGAGCAUCUGGCACCUCUGAUUCCCACAUGGAGAGGUUGAAUAGCCCCAAAAUGUGCCACUGUCUUUCAGAGAAGACACGGACACAAGGAAUCCUAUAGCCAGACCAGAUUAAAUUCCAAAUUUCUGCAUAAAACCACGUUUAGAAGAAUCUGUGACUGACUGAUUACUAAACAGUGGCUUAUCCUUGGAAACUCAUUAUGCCUAGUGAAAUCUACCAAUAUAGGCAAGAGUUUAAUCUGCUGCAAAUGGUAAACCAUGGAAGUAGACUUGGAGUUUGGUAGUGAUGAGAACAGAAGUCUCUGUGAGCUUGUCAGCAAGGCCCAGGGCAUCUCUGUCGCCUGGAACAGCUCUGAAGAUGUUGGCCACACAAGUUCUAUUAAUCAGCACCUGCAGAGCGAGCACUCACAUCUAACUGAGUUCAGGGUCAGCAAACUGGAUUCAGUAUGUUCAAUCUAAAACUACACGCCAUUGUUAAAAGGCAGUGCAUUGUUAAUAAACAGGAGAACAAUUGUCCAAAAGCCUUCGAAAACUAGGUUUUCAGGGUUUUGGUCUACUCUAAACAAAACUGGAAAUUGAACUUUAGGAAGGAAAUUGGGAACCAUUAUUAACUAUAUUAUAUUCAAACGUGAAAUUUGCAAUUUAAUAAGCAAAGGAUGGCUGUAUGCAUGUUGUGAAAGCAAGAAAUGAUUCCAAAUGAAAGGCUAUACAUUAAAGUAUUUCAUCUUUAUCAUUUAUUUCUGUAAACUGCUAAAGCUGUGCUUUAUUUAUUGCAGUUCAUCCAUAUAUAAUUCUCUGUAGUUUAGAAAACUGCAUCUAACAUUUUUAUCCCAACUUUAUAAAUUGCAUUGAUUUAUUUCUGUCUCGUAAGCCUAAAACCAUUUAUUACAACAACAAAACAUCCUCCUAUUCUGGUGUUCCAGGAACAAAGUCUACCCGCUUACUGUGUAGGGAGCAUUGACAGAUGGCCAAAUGGGGUGAUAGCUUUGAUUUUAAUGUGUCUUAAGAGAGUAAAUGAAGCAAAGGCAAUCUUCAUCUCCUGUGAAAAGUUGGAUUUUUGUGUGGCUUGUCGGCAACACUGAGGUGCAAUUCUCACAGCACUUCAUUGAUUUUCCACUCAACCAUGACCAUUCAAACAGCAAAAAGCAGGGUCAAAGAAUUUUUAAAGUUUUUUUUUCUGUUUAUCUACAAGAGCACAAACAAAACUGACCACACUUACUUCGGUGAUAUUCCAUGGUUGCUGGUGCAAAGCCUUUGUGAGUUUCACAGGUUAUGAAUUUCUAAUUUUACAUAAAAUGAAGUGGUUUUGUCGAGAGAAUCAUUAACAUCAUAAAGACUGUAAGAAUAAAAAUUCUUCACAUCGCCCCCACCUGUGAUUUUAGCAUAUAUCAUGGAUGACAAAGCACUCUGCAUUGCUUGCUUUAAGCUCUGAAAAGGGACAGACUUCAACAGCAGGACAUGAAAUAAUGCUUGUAAUACAGCAGUAAAGUCUCAUUGCCGUAGGAUGGUGUGUUAUUCUGUACUGGGCCUCAAACCCCAAUUUAACUUUAAAUACAAAGCACCAUUUAAAUAUAAAGAUUAACUUCUUCAUCUUCAUCUUCUGUGAGAGCAUGAAAGCUUGAACAAGAAUUUGCCGAGGGAAGAUGUAACAGCUAAACUCUACAGAAAUUUUAGCCACUGGACUAGCAUUUAAAAAGGUGGAAGCCUGACAUUACCAACCUUGUGUACUGCAAAUUUGGGUAGAAUCGUACUUCUGUGGUAGUACAAAUGAUAGCUGUAGAAAAUCAUCCAGUAAUUUAGUUGGCGUAUUUGUUCUGUUAUUUAGUUGGUGUGUUUGUAUUUACAUUUCACCUUGCAGUAUGAUAAAAUGAAACAAGAACAGGCUCUGGAGACUAAAAGACCUGAAUUCUCAUCCUGCUUCUGCCUUUCCCCUGCUUUGUAAAACUGGGAACUUCCUUUGCGAAUUGGGAACUUAGCCCCUUCAGUCCAUGUUUCUUCAUCUGUGUAAUAGAAUGGUAAUAUUUUACAAGUUCCACUCAUUAGAUUAUCUGUGAAAUAACUAGUAGUGUCUGACAUUCAAUACAUUUUCGUUCACUUAGCACACGAGGCCAAUGUGAUACAAGGAAGUUUCUAUUUUAAAUCCAUUUGUUAGGAGCACGAAAUGCACACUCUUGAUGUUCAGAAAAGAAGGCUCCUACCAUGCAACACAAAGCUCCCAGCACCAGAACACACCAGUACUCCCCAGGCAAAAUGACUGUUAAGUUCAC
rnacentral:lncRNA from 1 species